rnacentral:lncRNA from 1 species
GAGAAACCAUAAUGCAAGUUCUAAGAGGCCAUAUUUCUGCAUCAUCUGAGAUAUAAGUACUAUGCUCAUAAGAUGUCAAGUGCUCUUCAUCCAAGCAUGAGAAGAGCAUGAUGGACAUCUCCUCAUCUGAGCAUAAGAAGAGUGCAUGACUAUCCUCCCCUCAUUCGAGCAUGAGGGGCAAGAUGAGCACCUCUCUUCAUCCAAACGUGUGGAGAGUAUAAUGAGCCUCUCCUCUUCCGAGCA